rnacentral:rRNA from 1 species
GGCCUGAGAGGGUGACCGGCCACACUGGGACUGAGACACGGCCCAGACUCCUACGGGAGGCAGCAGUGGGGAAUAUUGCACAAUGGGCGAAAGCCUGAUGCAGCGACGCCGCGUGAGGGAUGACGGCCUUCGGGUUGUAAACCUCUUUCAGUAGGGAAGAAGCGAAAGUGACGGUACCUGCAGAAGAAGCGCCGGCUAACUACGUGCCAGCAGCCGCGGUAAUACGUAGGGCGCAAGCGUUAUCCGGAAUUAUUGGGCGUAAAGAGCUCGUAGGCGGUUUGUCGCGUCUGCUGUGAAAGGCCAGGGCUCAACCCCGGUUCUGCAGUGGGUACGGGCAGACUUGAGUGAAGUAGG